rnacentral:misc_RNA from 1 species
GUUACAACUGUUGCUAUAGCUGUAGAUACAAUAUAUGAGUCAAUGCUAUAUGAACUCUAAUAAUAAGAAGUCUUGAGAAUAAUGUACUGUUUUCAUCAAUGGUUCACAUACUAGGAACAUAUUAUAAGCAUAUAUUGCAGCAGUUCCAUUUCAUUUUUCAGGUUUUAUAAGCAUCACAAAGGAAAAAACUAAUAAGGAAUAUGGCAAUAUAUAAGAAAGCAUAUAGAGAAACCAGAUACCCAUCCCAAGAGCAGAGAGU